rnacentral:rRNA from 2 species
ACAUGCAGUCGAGCGGAUUGAUGGGAGCUUGCUCCCUGAUAUCAGCGGCGGACGGGUGAGUAACACGUGGGUAACCUGCCUGUAAGACUGGGAUAACUCCGGGAAACCGGGGCUAAUACCGGAUAACUCAUUUCCUCGCAUGAGGAAAUGUUGAAAGGUGGCUUCGGCUACCACUUACAGAUGGACCCGCGGCGCAUUAGCUAGUUGGUGAGGUAACGGCUCACCAAGGCAACGAUGCGUAGCCGACCUGAGAGGGUGAUCGGCCACACUGGGACUGAGACACGGCCCAGACUCCUACGGGAGGCAGCAGUAGGGAAUCUUCCGCAAUGGACGAAAGUCUGACGGAGCAACGCCGCGUGAGUGAUGAAGGUUUUCGGAUCGUAAAGCUCUGUUGUUAGGGAAGAACAAGUGCCGUUCGAAUAGGGCGGCACCUUGACGGUACCUAACCAGAAAGCCACGGCUAACUACGUGCCAGCAGCCGCGGUAAUACGUAGGUGGCAAGCGUUGUCCGGAAUUAUUGGGCGUAAAGCGCGCGCAGGUGGUUCCUUAAGUCUGAUGUGAAAGCCCACGGCUCAACCGUGGAGGGUCAUUGGAAACUGGGGAACUUGAGUGCAGAAGAGGAAAGUGGAAUUCCAAGUGUAGCGGUGAAAUGCGUAGAUAUUUGGAGGAACACCAGUGGCGAAAGCGACUUUCUGGUCUGUAACUGACACUGAGCGCGA